rnacentral:rRNA from 1 species
UGGGGAAUUUUGGACAAUGGGCGAAAGCCUGAUCCGGCCAUGCCGCGUGAGUGAAGAAGGCCUUCGGGUUGUAAAGCUCUUUCGGCCGGAACGAAAUCGCGUACGUGAAUAACGUGCGUGGAUGACGGUACUGGAAGAAGAAGCACCGGCUAACUACGUGCCAGCAGCCGCGGUAAUACGUAGGGUGCGAGCGUUAAUCGGAAUUACUGGGCGUAAAGCGUGCGCAGGCGGUUUCGUAAGUCAGAUGUGAAAUCCCCGGGCUUAACCUGGGAACUGCGUUUGAAACUACGGAGCUAGAGUGCGGCAGAGGGGGGUGGAAUUCCACGUGUAGCAGUGAAAUGCGUAGAUAUGUGGAGGAACACCGAUGGCGAAGGCAGCCCCCUGGGCCGACACUGACGCUCAGGCACGAAAGCGUGGGGAGCAAACAGGAUUAGAUACCCUGGUAGUCCACGCCCUAAACUAUGUCAACUAGUUGUCGGGGAAGCAAUUCCUUGGUAACGAAGCUAACGCGUGAAGUUGACCGCCUGGGGAGUACGGUCGCAAGAUUA